GACGAACGCUGGCGGCGUGCCUAAUACAUGCAAGUUGAGCGCUGAAGGUUGGUACUUGUACCGACUGGAUGAGCAGCGAACGGGUGAGUAACGCGUGGGGAAUCUGCCUUUGAGCGGGGGACAACAUUUGGAAACGAAUGCUAAUACCGCAUAAAAACUUUAAACACAAGUUUUAAGUUUGAAAGAUGCAAUUGCAUCACUCAAAGAUGAUCCCGCGUUGUAUUAGCUAGUUGGUGAGGUAAAGGCUCACCAAGGCGAUGAGACAUAGCCGACCUGAGAGGGUGAUCGGCCACAUUGGGACUGAGACACGGCCCAAACUCCUACGGGAGGCAGCAGUAGGGAAUCUUCGGCAAUGGACGAAAGUCUGACCGAGCAACGCCGCGUGAGUGAAGAAGGUUUUCGGAUCGUAAAACUCUGUCGGUAGAGAAGAACGUUGGUGAGAGUGGAAAGCUCAUCAAGUGACGGUAACUACCCAGAAAGGGACGGCUAACUACGUG
rnacentral:rRNA from 1 species